GGAAGUAAAAGUCGUAACAAGGUUUCCGUAGGUGAACCUGCGGAAGGAUCAUUAAUGAUUUGGCGAACCGAGCGUUAGCGAGGUUUUGCGAUCAACUUGUAUUUAAAACCCAACUCUUUAUAAUAUUUAUACAUAAUUUUAAUGAUAAAAUUAAAGAUCACUUUCAACAACGGAUCUCUUGGCUCUCGCAUCGAUGAAGAACGUAGCGAAGUGCGAUAAGUAAUGUGAAUUGCAGAAUUCCGUGAAUCAUCGAAUCUUUGAACGCAUAUUGCACUCUCUGGUAUUCCGGAGAGUAUGCCUGUUUGAGGGUCAGUUAAAUAAAAAUCGGGGUUUUUGCCACCUUUGGUGGUGACGCUUCGGAAUUGGGUCGUCUUUACCUUUUGGUUAAGUGACUUAAAAUUUUUUGCAUGAUAUCUGAACGUAUUUAAAUUUAUUUGGUACGUUUUGUAAUAUCGAAUGUUUAUUAGGUGUGAUCAUCCUCAUGACUCACGUCUAUAAUAUUUCAUCUAAUGACCUCAAAUCAGGUAAGAGUACCCGCUGAACUUAAGCAUAUCAAUAAGCGGAGGA
rnacentral:rRNA from 1 species